CUGUGAGUUUGCUAGUCAACCAAAGGUUAUGCUUUAGAGACUACUUGAUAUGUGUUCAAGAAUAUUUCGAGCAAAUUGAUCACCAAAACUCCAUAUGAGAUAUGAAUUUGGAUAAUUCGAUACUCACCUUAGAAUUUGGGGUGUCGAACUUAUGUGAAAUAUUCACAAAUCGACUAGCUUGGAUCUUGAUCUAAUAAAUAUUAUUUUAGAGAUAUUUCUUCUGCCUUUCUGAUGGACAUGAGA
rnacentral:lncRNA from 1 species